rnacentral:rRNA from 1 species
UACGGAGGAUCCAAGCGUUAUCCGGAAUCAUUGGGUUUAAAGGGUCCGUAGGCGGUCUUAUAAGUCAGUGGUGAAAUCUCUCCGCUCAACGGGGAAACGGCCAUUGAUACUGUAAGACUUGAAUUAUUGGGAAGUAACUAGAAUAUGUAGUGUAGCGGUGAAAUGCUUAGAUAUUACAUGGAAUACCGAUUGCGAAGGCAGGUUACUACCAAUGGAUUGACGCUGAUGGACGAAAGCGUGGGGAGCAAACAGG